GCAAGUCGAACGAGGCCCCUUUGGUUUACUAGAGGGUGUCCUAGUGGCAGACGGGUGAGUAACGCGUGAGUAAUGUGCCUUCUUUCUGGGGAUACCGUUUUGAAAAGAACGUUAAUACCGAAUGUGCUUGAACUGCGGCAUCGUAGUUUGAGUAAACUGUUAGGGAGAGAAGAGCAACUCGCGUUCUAUCAGCUAGAUGGUGGGGUAAUGGCCUACCAUGGCGACGACGGAUAGCUGGUCUGAGAGGAUGAUC
rnacentral:rRNA from 1 species